rnacentral:ncRNA from 1 species
CGUGUCGUAGCUAACGCAUUAAGCGCCCCGCCUGGGGAGUACGGCCGCAAGGCUAAAACUCAAAGGAAUUGACGGGGGCCCGCACAAGCGGCGGAGCAUGCGGAUUAAUUCGAUGCAACGCGAAGAACCUUACCAAGGCUUGACAUAACCGAGAACGCCGCAGAAAUGUGGAACUCUUUGGACACUCGGUUACAGGUGGUGCAUGGUUGUCGUCAGCUCGUGUCGUGAGAUGUUGGGUUAAGUCCCGCAACGAGCGCAACCCUCGUCGCAUGUUGCCAGCACGUAAUGGUGGGAACUCAUGUGAGACUGCCGGGGUCAACUCGGAGGAAGGUGGGGAUGACGUCAAAUCAUCAUGCCCCUUAUGUCUUGGGCUUCACGCAUGCUACAAUGGCCGGUACAAAGGGCUGCGAUACCGUAAGGUGGAGCGAAUCCCAAAAAGCCGGUCUCAGUUCGGAUUGAGGUCUGCAACUCGACCUCAUGAAGUCGGAGUCGCUAGUAAUCGCAGAUCAGCAACGCUGCGGUGAAUACGUUCCCGGGCCUU